GUCUGUUUCCAGGUAGUGGGCAAACAGGAAGUUACCCCAGGCUACCCACCUCCCAGCUGCAAAACCCUUGAACCUGCUUGCCUCAGUAACCAUGGCAAGUCCAGAUGGCUGCCUUAGGAUCAGAUGUAAACCUUGGAGAAACCAGCUGUGGCCAGUAUGUCAAGUUUAAGCAGACAAAUGAAGGUGACCUGUGGUGGGAAUACACAUUUUGAAACUGAAAAGAGAUGGUAUGUGGGGAUGUACGGAGAACUUGUUGGAGUCUCUGUUGUGGACAACGCUUUAUG
rnacentral:lncRNA from 1 species